UUGAAGCAAAACCCUCUCUUGUACCCAAAACUUUUGAAUUAUUUAAUAAAAACAGGUAUAUUUCCAAGGAAAAGCUAUGAAUCAGACAGCUAUGGAAAAUAUAGAAUUAUCAGAUUUACCAGAACAGGUAUUUAUAUUUGUGAUUAUGAAUAACUAAAUUCAUAAAUUCCUGACAAUCAUGAUAUGAUAAAAUAAGUUCAUGUUAGUUACUUUAUAGUAGAAUUAUUCGAAGAAUAACAUGUUAAGAAGUUUACUAGCAAAGAGGUAAAAGGAUAAAAAUCCCUAAGAACUAUGUCAUCCUAAAGGUGAAAUCGGUGAGGCAAGAAAGCCGUGAUAGGGGAGUAGCCAGGGUAGAGGCGUUGUUUAAGGAAAAAGUAUCCAGAUUAGCAUGCUAAUAGUGACCGAAGAACAUGUUAUUUAAGGAUAAUCUAGUAUAUAGUAAUCUAAAAUAAUCAUAUUUUGUUAUGUGUAUGAUUGAAGGGAAUAUUUUGAAAAAAGCAUCAUAUGAAAAAUGAAUACUUAUUUAUUUGAUAAAAUGGUAGAUAAAUUUAAAAUACUUGUUUUAUAUAUACUUAAGGAUAUAGAAAUAGUAGAUAUAAGAAAAAUCAUAUUGGAAAAAAUAUUUGAUAAAUAUUUUAUGACUAGAAUUAAUUAUAUACCACACCUACCUAACUAUUACAAACACCUACAUACCAAACCAAAAUAUCAACCAUGAUAAACUACGUGUAUUUAGAAUAUUGGAAAAUGGAUAUGAAAAAUAUACAAUUAAUAGAAAAACUAAUGAAAACAAAUUUAGAAGAAUAAAUGAGAACUAAAGAUAUAAAAUAUAUAGAAUUCCUUAAUGAAAAUAUAGAGAAAUUAUUAAAAUUAAAACAAACAACUAAUAAAUACUAUGAUAAAGCAUUUAAUUACUAGAAUCUAAUUCCAAGUUAUACAAGUUAUUCGUAAGAAAACCUUAGCAUAAUAUGAAUAAUAUGAGAAGAUAUAUAUCUGAUGAAACUAAGAUACUAGUUUUAUAUAUCAUAAAAGACUUAGAAUUAGAAGACAUAAAGAAAAUAAUAUGAAAAAAAAUAUUUAAUUAUGUAGAUGAGUUACUAAGUACUAAUUGGAUAGAAGAUGAAUUAAGAAAAUAUAGAUUUCUAUGGUAGAAAUAAUUUAGAUAGUUAUUAUUUAGAUGAAUAUUAUACAGAUUAAGAAUGCUAAAAUAUAUUCAAAGAAUUAGAGAAAAAUAAAGUUGGCUAUAUGAAGAAAUUAAUUAUAGAAACAGCUUAGAAGAGGAAGAGAACAAUUAAAAGAAAGAUUAAUUUGGAUAGAUAAAACCAUAAAACAACUAGAAUUAAAAGAUAAUUUAAAAUAUGAUUUAGACAUAGAAUUAUUCAUAGACGAAAAAGAUAGGAUAAUUAACAAAAUAGAUAACCUAGAAUUUAAUAUUAGAUCUAUUACAAUUAGAAUAAAUUAUUACAAAGAAAUUUGCAGUAUCACAACUACUUUAGGAUAAAAUGAUAGACUAUGAGUAUUUAAAAUAUUGGAGACAAGAUAUGGAAGAAAUAAGAUUAACAUAACUACUUAUGAAAGAGAAUUUAAUUAAAUAUUUUAGAACAAAGGAUAUAGAAUAUUUAGAAUACCUUCAAAAUAAUAUACAAGAAUUACAAAUACUAAGAGAACAAAAUUAAAGAAUAUUACAGUACAGCAUUUAAUCAAAUACCAUUCAAUCACCCCCCAAAAUAUGAACAUUAAUAAAAUUAAAAUAAAAAUAAACUCAAAAUAAAAAUGUUUAGAGAAGUUAAGAAAUAUCCACGCACAAAUAAAAAUAACUCCAUUAGAGCUAUAAUAGAUAAAAAUAGCUCCAUUAGAGCUAUAAUAGAUCUAUUUAAGUUAUCCAAGUUUAUCCGCACCCCCUACAUUGGACAGAAAUACUUAUGAAAGAGAAUUUAAUUGAAUAUUUCAGAACAAAGGAUAUAGAAUAUUUAGAAUACCUUCAAAAUAAUAUACAAGAAUUACAAAGACUAAGAGAAAAAAACUAAAGAAUAUUAAAGUAAAGCAUUUAAUCAAAUACCAUUCAAUCACCCCCCAAAAUAUGAACAUUAAUAAAAUUAAAAUAAAUAAACUCAAAAUAAAAAUAUUUAGAGAAGUUAAAAAAUAUCCACGCACAAAUAAAAAUAACUCCAUUAGAGCUAUAAUAGAUCUAUUAAGUUAUCCAAGUUUAUCCGCACCCCUACAUUAUAAUAGAUCUUUUUUAGUCCUAAAAUAUAUGAGACUCCUAAAAUAUAUGGUAGGAGAAUUAAUUAAUAUUAUCCCUUAUACUAUACUUCCUAAAAUAUAUGAGAAUCUUAAAAUAUAUGAUAAGAGAAUUAAUUAAUAUUUUUCUUUCUACCAUUCAAUUAGAAAAAUACUCCUAAAAUAGGAUUCUAUUAAGGAAAUACUUCUUAAAUAUUGAGAUGUCCAUUAAACUAGAAAACAAAUCGGUUUGCCUAUUGGAAGAAUAUGACUGAUGCCCGUCUAACUUGAUUCGAUUGCAUGUCUAGAUUGGUGGAUGCUUGAUUUUCUAAUUCUCAACUUCUUCACUGUCUUUGUCAGCAUAAUAGAAUUCAACAUAUGUGUAUGUAUAUAUCUUUUUUAUUUUCAUGCAAAAUCAUUCUUUAGGGCCAAAAUUUUCGUUCAGGCAAGAAUUAGUUGGAUCAAAAUCUAAGCUUUGCUAUCACUAUUCUAUGUAGCUGUUUGGCCAUGAAAACUAAAAUUUUUCGGAGUUGGAGUUGAAAUUGGAGUUGGAGUUGUGUUUGGUCAUGUCUUUUCUGAAUUUAUUUUUUGACUUUUGAAAAAAAAAAUUUAAACAUGAUUUUAUGCCCUAACUUUUACAAACUAUCAAAAUCACCCAACUAAAAUUUACGUACUAAUGAAAAAAGAACACAAUUAACCACUAUUAUAAAAAUAAUUACAUAUACAUGACCAUAUUUAAUGAAUUUUAAUUAUGACAUAUAUAAUAUUUACAUUAAUAGUCGUUUUCUCAUAUUUGAAAAUUUUAAAUAUGGAUGUUAUAUUAACAGAUCACUGCUUCCUGAUUUUUAGAUAACAAAUAUUAUCUUUCAAACAAAUUUAUUUUUUUAGAAAUUUAUUUAAUUUAUUUCCUUCAUUUUUCGUUCCUAAAAAAUAGGAAAUGAUGAGUUAUUAAAUAGGGUGCCGCUAAUUUAUUUCUUUAAUUUUCUUAUACAUGAAAGAUUUUACUGUGUGUGAAUAAAUUAUUUCUAUGUAAAACAUGCUUUGCAUA
rnacentral:lncRNA from 1 species